rnacentral:rRNA from 1 species
GACGAACGCUGGCGGCGUGCUUAACACAUGCAAGUCGAACGCUGAAGCUCAGCUUUUGUUGGGUGGAUGAGUGGUGAACGGGUGAGUAACACGUGAGUAACCUGCCCCCUUCUUUGGGAUAACGCCCGGAAACGGGUGCUAAUACUGGAUAUUCACUGGUCUUCGCAUGGGGGUUGGUGGAAAGGGUUUUUCUGGUGGGGGAUGGGCUCGCGGCCUAUCAGCUUGUUGGUGGGGUGAUGGCCUACCAAGGCUUUGACGGGUAGCCGGCCUGAGAGGGUGACCGGUCACAUUGGGACUGAGAUACGGCCCAGACUCCUACGGGAGGCAGCAGUGGGGAAUAUUGCACAAUGGGCGCAAGCCUGAUGCAGCGACGCCGCGUGAGGGAUGGAGGCCUUCGGGUUGUGAACCUCUUUCGCUCAUGGUCAAGCCGCAACAAUGGUUAUGGUGAGGGUAGUGGGUAAAGAAGCGCCGGCUAACUACGUG